rnacentral:rRNA from 1 species
UUAUGGGCUGUCACCUACCGCUGAAUGUAUAGGCGGUGUGGAGGGAACGCGGGGAAGUGAAACAUCUCAGUACCCGCAGGAAGAGAAAACAAGAGUGAUUCCGGGAGUAGUGGCGAGCGAAACCGGAAGAGGCUAAACCGUUUGUGUGUGAUACCCGGCAGGGGUUGCGCAGGCGGGGUUGUGGGAGUUUCUGUGAUCGUUCUGCCGGACGGUCGUCGAGUAAAAAAUCGUGGGUGUAGGCGAAGGGCAUGCGAAAGGCCCGGCGUAGAGGGUAAGACCCCCGUAGCUGAAAUGUCUGCGACUCGAUAUGGAGCCACCCAAGUAGCAUAGGGCCCGAGAAACCUUGUGUGAAUCUGGCGGGACCACCCGUUAAGCCUAAAUAUUCCCUGGUGACCGAUAGUGGAUAGUACCGUGAGGGAAUGGUGAAAAGUACCGCGGGAGCGGAGUGAAAGAGUACCUGAAACCGUGUGCCUACAAGCCGUGGGAGCGUCGCGGUGAGUGCUUGCACUCAUCGUCGUGACUGCGUGCCUUUUGAAGAAUGAGCCUGCGAGUUUGCGGUGUGUUGCGAGGUUAACCUGUUGGUGGGGAGCCGUAGCGAAAGCGAGUCCGAAGAGGGCGUUUGAGUAGCAUGCCCUAGACCCGAAACGGAGUGAUCUAGCCAUGGGCAGGGUGAAGCGUGGGUAAGACUGCGUGGAGGCCCGAACCCACCAGAGUUGAAAAUCUGGGGGAUGACCUGUGGUUAGGGGUGAAAGGCCAAUCAAACUCCGUGAUAGCUGGUUCUCCCCGAAAUGCAUUUAGGUGCAGCGUCGUUUGUUUCUUGUCGGAGGUAGAGCACUGGAUAGGUGAUGGGCCUUACCGGGUUACUGACCUUAGCCAAACUCCGAAUGCCGGCAAGUGAGAGAACGGCAGUGAGACUGUGGGGGAUAAGCUCCAUGGUCGAGAGGGAAACAGCCCAGAGCAUCGACUAAGGCCCCUAAGCGUGUGCUAAGUGGGAAAGGAUGUGGAGUCGCAGAGACAGCCAGGAGGUUGGCUUAGAAGCAGCCACCCUUGAAAGAGUGCGUAAUAGCUCACUGGUCGAGUGAUUCUGCGCCGACAAUGUAGCGGGGCUCAAGUACACCGCCGAAGUCGUGUCACCAGCCUAGCUGGUGGGUAGGGGAGCGUCGUGUGUUGGGUGAAGCAGCCGUGGAAACGUGUUGUGGACGGCAUGCGAGUGAGAAUGCAGGCAUGAGUAGCGUUACACACGUGAGAAACGUGUGCGCCGAUUGACUAA